GUGAGGAAUAUUGGUCAAUGGGCGAGAGCCUGAACCAGCCAAGUCGCGUGAAGGAAGAAGGAUCUAUGGUUCGUAAACUUCUUUUGCAGGGGAAUAAAGUGCGGGACGUGUCCUGUUUUGUAUGUACCCUGAGAAUAAGGAUCGGCUAACUCCGUUCCAGCAGCCGCGGUAAUACGGAGGAUCCGAGCGUUAUCCGGAUUUAUUGGGUUUAAAUGGUGCGUAGGUGGUUUGAUAAGUCAGCGGUGAAAGUUUGCAGAUUAACUGUAAAAAUGCCGUUGAAACUGUCGGACUUGAGUGUAAAUGAGGUAGGCGGAAUGCGUGGUGUAGAGGUGAAAUGCAUAGAUAUCACGCAGAACUCCGAUUGCGAAAGCAGCUUACUAAGCUACAAAUGACAAUGAAGCACGAAAGCGUGGGGAUCAAACAGGAUUAGAAACCCCAGUAGUCC
rnacentral:rRNA from 1 species